rnacentral:rRNA from 1 species
UAGAGUUUGAUCCUGGCUCAGGCCGCACGCUGGCGGCGUGCUUUAUACAUGCAAGUCGAACGAUGAAGUUCCUUCGGGAAUGGAUUAGUGGCGAACGGGUGAGGAACACGUGAGAAACCUGCCUUUCAUUCUGGGAUAACACCGGGAAACCGGUGCUAAUACCGGAUACUCCGUCUUGGCGGCAUCGCCGAGCCGGGAAAAAAUUUUGAUGAAAGAUGGUCUCGAGGCCCAUCAGCUAGUUGGUGAGGUAAUAAAUCACCAAGGCGACGACGGGUAGCCGGCCUGAGAGGGCGACCGGCCACACUGGGACUGAGACACGGCCCAGACUCCUACGGGAGGCAGCAGUAGGGAAUAUUGGGCAAUGGGCGCAAGCCUGACCCAGCGACGCCGCGUGAGGGAUGAAGGUCUUCGGAUUGUAAACCUCUUUCAGUAGGGAAGAAGCGGGAAGUGACGGUACCUAAAGAAGAAGCACCGGCUAACUAUGUGCCAGCAGCCGCGGUAAUACAUAG